AAUCAUUUGAAUUCCCCUUUAACUGAGCUGACCUAUUAAUGCAUGAUUUUCUCCAUGAAAAGAGAAAAGCAUGAGAGAGAGAGAGUAGGCACAGGGGUGAGAGAGAGAGUAGGCACAGGGGUGUUUCAGAGACAGUGUCUACUACAUCUCUACUGAGAAGAAGAGCUGGAGCGAGAGCAGACAGGACUGCAAAAGAAAAGGAGCAGACCUGGUGAUCAUAAACAGCAGAGAAGAACAGAAGUUCAUCAGUACAAUAUUACGCAGCAGUGAAGCUUGGAUUGGUCUGAUGGACAAAGAGAAACAAGGGGUCUGGAAAUGGGUGGACAACUCAGCACUGACCACUAAGUUCUGGUGGAAGGGGGAACCAAAUGAUUAUAAUAGAAAUGACGACUGUGCUGUAACUGGCUAUGAAGCUGAUGGAUCUGAAUGUGUAUCAACCUGGGCUGAUGUUCCCUGUAAUAACCUUGUAGUUGGACUCUGUGAGAAAAGUUUAGUUGAAUUUUAAUUUAGUCUACAUAACAGAGAAGAGUAAAGACUGAUUUAAUAUAUAUUUAAAAUAUCAACGUGUAUGAAGUGUAAACUGCAUGUACAUGUCAUAUAUUCCUCUCUGCAUUACCAAUGUUUGUAAUAGGAUGUGUAUUUAAAUGCAGAGACAAUAUUAAGCAUUUUUAUUCUCCAGUUUUACUUCUGGUGAAAACUCACACACACACACA